GACACUCCCCCAUCACAUUAUUACCCUCCUCUCAACCCCUCGCAUGCCUGCUGGACUAGCCACCUCUUCCCAAGUGCCCCUCCUACCAUGGUGUCUUUGUAGGUGUGUGACCCACCCAGUUUAACUAGACUCGGUAGCAUGAACAUCUGUAGGGGAUAGUAUGGGGAAUGUAAUAGUGGCUGUACCACCCAAGAAGAUGAUGACUCCUUCCCCGGCAACCACCAACUAACUGCCUGUGGCUCUCAUGAUCCUCCCCUCCACCCCUGAUGGAGUGGUAAUGGGCCAAUCUCAUCAAGUCCUGUGUGAGAGAAGCCAUGGCUGAGACUCAACAGCACUGAGCGGCAUUGGCAUUUUUGGCAGCAGGUUUUCUGACCUGACUGAGAAGGAAACAGGAUGUAAGAAAUGUUGGGGCCAGUAGGUUGAUUUUCCUUCUACUGAUUUUCUACUAGUUUGGGCCUAAUUUAUCUCUGUCCGCAAUGGUUCUGAGAGGGAGUUUAUUCCGUCAGAGACAUCCUCAUGUUCUCUGCUGCCAAAGGGGUUUGUGGCAAACAGAUUUAACAAACGUACAUGCAGGCAAAACACUCAUACAUGUAAAAAAAAUAUAUCUAAAAGAAGAGAGAGAAAAUUCCCAGAGAAGUAAUCAGAGAGCUGGUGGCCGUGUGUGCACAGCUCAGGCACGUUGUGGGAAUUCUGUAACUACAAAGACACACAACUGAGGUGGAUUUCCUGGUUCUUGACGUCAUUACUUUAUCAGCCACCAAGAAGACACCACCAGGAUAGCACCAAGAAGAUGCUAUGACUUAACUUGGAGCUAGAUCACUAGAAGUGACCCAGACUUGCCGGCAGGGACAGGCUAGCCCAUGGUACAGGUAUCUGGCUGGCCUGGACUUUCUGUGUCUUCCAUGCUCUGUUUGGAAUGGGGAACAAGGGUGCAGUUGGCAAACCCCCCUUGAAGUCCCCUCCAGUGAGAAGAAUCUGUUCACUCACAUACUCCAUCACUCAAACUAGUGUCCUGAUGACCCACGCUGUGUACUCCAGUGGGAUGCUGGAAACAUCAAGUUGACUUUUCAUGGUCUCUGGGAUGAUAACUGGAGAGUAAUCACUUUCCCUACUUGGACUCACUAACAGGACAGGGGUUAGUGGGUAGGUCUGGUGGGAGCCUGUCUACUUGAAGGGAUAUUAAAUACUUUAAGACUUUGUCUAAAACACAGUGACUACAGCACAGAUUUCAGCCCAAGAGCCAAGCUGCUAGUCCCCAGGCAGGAGUGGCUUGAACACGGGCACAGUCCAUCUUGGAGCGCUGUCAACAAUGCAGGUGAAAACCAAGAACCUCUCCCACAUCUCACAUCUGUGAGCACUGGGAGCACAAGGCAUGGUUGCUUUGGACUAGCCUUUGGGAAGGGCCACAAAGGCACAUCCAAGCGCCUUGUCUUUUUAGCAGAGCAGUUUGGACAUCUCAGUGGGACGUCAGGGAUCAGUGGAGAAGGAUGCAUGAUGGAGAACAAUGGUAGCCAUGAGACAUAGCAGGAUGGUAGCUCCAGUGGGCCCUAGUGACUCCAGGGUCAAAGAUGGGUAACAACUGCCUGACAGAUCCCCUGGCAGGCACCAGGGGAUGUGCCAGCACCAAGCUUUCAGUUGAAUUGAAACUUCUGCAAAGACUACCAGGACACUGGUUGGUAGGGAGUUGCACAGAAAACAUUGAGAUGGAUCUCAGGGUACAGUAAGGGGGCAAUGGGAGAGACCUGGGGACUUCUUUUUUGCUGUAAAUGUAAGCCCACCGCAAACCCUGACAGGAGAAAUGGAUAUCACCUAUAAUUAAAACCUGCCUGUUCAGAUAACA